AGUCGAGGGGUAACAGAGGAGCUUGCUCCUGCUGACGACCGGCGCACGGGUGCGUAACGCGUAUACAAUCUGCCUUGCACUAAGGGAUAGCCCAGAGAAAUUUGGAUUAAUAUCUUAUGGUUUAUAAUUAUGGCAUCAUAUUUAUAAUAAAGGUUACGGUGUAAGAUGAGUAUGCGUCCCAUUAGUUUGUUGGUAAGGUAACGGCUUACCAAGACUACGAUGGGUAGGGGCCCUGAGAGGGGGAUCCCCCACACUGGUACUGAGACACGGACCAGACUCCUACGGGAGGCAGCAGUGAGGAAUAUUGGACAAUGGAGGAGACUCUGAUCCAGCCAUGCCGCGUGCAGGAAGACGGUCCUAUGGAUUGUAAACUGCUUUUAUACAGGAAGAAUAAGGACUACGUGUAGUCUGGUGACGGUACUGUAAGAAUAAGGACCGGCUAACUCCGUGCCAGCAGCCGCGGUAAUACGGAGGGUCCGAGCGUUAUCCGGAAUUAUUGGGUUUAAAGGGUCCGUAGGCGGGCUGUUAAGUCAGGGGUGAAAGUUUGCAGCUCAACUGUAGAAUUGCCUUUGAUACUGACGGUCUUGAAUUAUUGUGAAGUGGUUAGAAUAUGUAGUGUAGCGGUGAAAUGCAUAGAUAUUACAUAGAAUACCGAUUGCGAAGGCAGAUCACUAACAAUUGAUUGACGCUGAUGGACGAAAGCGUGGGUAGCGAACAGGAUUAGAUACCCUGGUAGUCCACGCCGUAAACGAUGGAUACUAGCUGUUUGGAUUUCGAUCUGAGCGGCCAAGCGAAAGUGAUAAGUAUCCCACCUGGGGAGUACGUUCGCAAGA
rnacentral:rRNA from 1 species